CAGAAGGGCUUCGUGGACAUUAAUGCCAUCCGCUUGUUUGUUCAGAGGAACCCUAUUCCUACUUUGAUCGGAGAUGUCUAUUACUCGGUCCACAAUCGGAACGAGAAGAGGCGUGGGGGAUUGAUUCGAUGUUGCACUCAGCUGCUAUACAAGUGGUUUAUGGAAUAUCUGCCUACCCGGGGUGCUUUUGUUCUUCUUGGCCAAAAUGUCAAUUGGGCGACCAAGCUGAUGGGUUUGAGGGCCA
rnacentral:lncRNA from 1 species